rnacentral:rRNA from 1 species
GAUGAACGCUGGCGGCGUGCCUAACACAUGCAAGUCGAACGGAGAUUACGGACGGAAGUUUUCGGAUGGAAGACUGUAAUUCUUAGUGGCGGACGGGUGAGUAACGCGUGGGCAACCUGCCCUAUACAGGGGGAUAGCAGCUGGAAACGGCUGGUAAGACCUCAUAAGUCGGCGAGACCGCAUUGUUUUGCCGGGAAAUGAGCAAUCAGGUAUAGGAUGGGCCCGCGUCCGAUUAGCCAGUUGGCAGGGGAAAAGCCUACCAAAGCAACGAUCGGUAGCCGGACUGAGAGGUCGGACGGCCACAUUGGGACUGGGACACGGCCCAAACUCCUACGGGAGGCAGCAGUGGGGGAUAUUGCACAAUGGAGGAAACUCUGAUGCAGCGACGCCGCGUGAGUGAAGAAGUAUUUCGGUAUGUAAAGCUCUAUCAGCAGGGAAGAUGCUGACGGUACCUGACUAAGAAGCCCCGGCUAACUACGUG